rnacentral:rRNA from 1 species
CCUACGGGGGGCUGCAGUGGGGAAUAUUGGACAAUGGGGGCAACCCUGAUCCAGCCAUGCCGCGUGUGUGAAGAAGGCCCUCGGGUUGUAAAGCACUUUCAGUGAGGAAGAACGCCUGGUGGUUAAUACCCAUCAGGAAAGACAUCACUCACAGAAGAAGCACCGGCUAACUCCGUGCCAGCAGCCGCGGUAAUACGGAGGGUGCGAGCGUUAAUCGGAAUUACUGGGCGUAAAGCGCGCGUAGGUGGCUUGAUAAGCCGGUUGUGAAAGCCCCGGGCUCAACCUGGGAACGGCAUCCGGAACUGUCAAGCUAGAGUGCAGGAGAGGAAGGUAGAAUUCCCGGUGUAGCGGUGAAAUGCGUAGAGAUCGGGAGGAAUACCAGUGGCGAAGGCGGCCUUCUGGACUGACACUGACACUGAGGUGCGAAAGCGUGGGUAGCAAACAGGAUUAGAUACCCCAGUAGGC